AAUAACGCGAAGAAAAAGGAAAGUACCCGUUUUUCCCCGGACAGAGAGAGCGUGCCAUGGGCUGGAAGCAUGCUUGCGGAUGGAUUUCGGAGAAGUUCCCUUUGGAGCGGCGCUGCUGAACCUAUUGUAAGUAGGCGGCGACGGAAGGCACCGUUACAGGCCGCAAAAGUGUUUGAGGAUUCAAAAAUCAGGGUGGUACCGCGGAGGAGUUUUGCCUUCGUCCCUUUU
rnacentral:ncRNA from 1 species